UGCGGAGGGUGCAAGCGUUAUCCGGAUUCACUGGGUUUAAAGGGUGCGUAGGUGGGUUUGUAAGUCAGUGGUGAAAUCUCCAAGCUUAACUUGGAAACUGCCGUUGAUACUAUAAAUCUUGAAUGUUGUGGAGGUGAGCGGAAUAUGUCAUGUAGCGGUGAAAUGCUUAGAUAUGACAUAGAACACCAAUUGCGAAGGCAGCUCACUACACAAAGAUUGACACUGAGGCACGAAAGCGUGGGGAUCAAACAGG
rnacentral:rRNA from 1 species